ACACACUCUUAUUUCAUCCGGCCUGGGGAGGAGGGGAAAGAGGAAGUCACCUGUGAAAUUGUCUUUGCGCUUUGGACUCAAGCCCCCAGAUGCCUUUGGAUAAUUUCUGCUUGCUAAAGAGGCGGGGCCUUAGUCCUCAUCGGCCGAUGGUUUGGAGACUGAAUCAACUAUCUGAGCCUUCAUCUACCACAUAAGAAUUGCAGCAAACCCUGCAGCUAUCCUGAAGCUGCCAUGCUGAAAAGGCCAAUUGGGAGACCACAUAGAGACCGAGAGAGACUUCCAAGGACUCCAGCCAAUCCUGGGCCCCAGCAGUUUGAAUCUCCCAGCAAUGCCACCAUACAGGAGAGGGAGCAAAUACUCAGAAGAUUCAAGUGCCAGCUGCAUGGGUUGAUACCUACAUAAAAGGCAUUGGCAUUAUUCACAAGAGCCAAGAUAUGGAAAUAACCUGUGUCCAUUGACAGACGAAUAGAUGAGGGAAACGUGGCAUAUACACACAGUGGAAUAUUAUUCGGAAUUAAAAAAAGAAGGAAAUCCUGAAUCCUGCUAUUUCUGACAACAUGAGACUGCAGGACGUUAUG
rnacentral:lncRNA from 10 species